GGCAGCAGUGGGGAAUAUUGGACAAUGGGCGCAAGCCUGAUCCAGCCAUGCCGCGUGAGUGAUGAAGGCCUUAGGGUUGUAAAGCUCUUUUAUCCGGGACGAUAAUGACGGUACCGGAGGAAUAAGCCCCGGCUAACUUCGUGCCAGCAGCCGCGGUAAUACGAAGGGGGCUAGCGUUGCUCGGAAUCACUGGGCGUAAAGGGCGCGUAGGCGGCGUUUUAAGUCGGGGGUGAAAGCCUGUGGCUCAACCACAGAAUGGCCUUCGAUACUGGGACGCUUGAGUAUGGUAGAGGUUGGUGGAACUGCGAGUGUAGAGGUGAAAUUCGUAGAUAUUCGCAAGAACACCGGUGGCGAAGGCGGCCAACUGGAC
rnacentral:rRNA from 1 species